rnacentral:rRNA from 1 species
UACAUGGGGUGCAAACGUUGCUCGGAAUUAUUGGGCGUAAAGCGCACGUAGGCGGUUCGUUAAGUCGGAUGUGAAAGCCCUUGGCUUAACCGAGGAAGUGCAUCCGAAACUGGCGAGCUAGAGUACGAAAGAGGAUCGCGGAAUUCCCGGUGUAGAGGUGAAAUUCGUAGAUAUCGGGAGGAACACCGGUGGCGAAGGCGGCGAUCUGGGUCGAUACUGACGCUGAGGAGCGAAAGCGUGGGGAGCGAACAGG